CGCGAAACCUUUACACUGCACGACGGUGCGAUAGGGGAACUCCGAGUGCGAGGGCAUAGAGCCCUCGCUUUUCUGCACCGUAAGGUGGUGCAGGAACAAGUGCUGGGCAAGACCGGUGCCAGCCGCCGCGGUAAUACCGGCAGCACGAGUGAUGGCCGAUCUUAUUGGGCCUAAAGCGUCCGUAGCUGGCCGUGCAAGUCCGUCGGGAAAUCCAGUGGCUCAACCUCUGGGCUUCCGGCGGAAACUGCUCGGCUUGGGACCGGAAGACUCGAGGGGUACGUUCGGGGUAGGAGUGAAAUCCCGUAAUCCUGAACGGACCACCGAUGGCGAACGCACCUCGAGAGCACGGAUCCGACAGUGAGGGACGAAAGCUAGGGUCUCGAACCGGAUUAGAUACCCGGGUAGUCCUAGCUGUUAACGAUGCCCGCUCGGUUCGGCGCAGGCUACGAGCCUGUGCCGCGCCUCAGUGAAGACGUAAGCGGGCCGCCUGGGAAGUACGUCCGCAAGGAUGAAACUUAAAGGAAUUGGCGGGGGAGCACUACAACCGGAGGAGCCUGCGGUUUAAUUG
rnacentral:rRNA from 1 species